rnacentral:rRNA from 1 species
UACGAAGGGGGCUAGCGUUGUUCGGAAUUACUGGGCGUAAAGCGCGCGCAGGCGGUCUUCCAAGUCAGUGGUGAAAGCCCGGAGCCCAACUCCGGAACUGCCAUUGAAACUGUAAGACUUGAGGACGAGAGAGGUGAGUGGAAUUCCCAGUGUAGAGGUGAAAUUCGUAGAUAUUGGGAAGAACACCGGUGGCGAAGGCGGCUCACUGGCUCGUAUCUGACGCUCAGGCGCGACAGCGUGGGGAUCAAACAGG